rnacentral:rRNA from 1 species
GUCCACGCCGUAAACGGUGGGCACUAGGUGUGGGGAACAUUCCACGUUCUCCGUGCCGAAGCUAACGCAUUAAGUGCCCCGCCUGGGGAGUACGGCCGCAAGGCUAAAACUCAAAGGAAUUGACGGGGGCCCGCACAAGCGGCGGAGCAUGCGGAUUAAUUCGAUGCAACGCGAAGAACCUUACCUGGGUUUGACAUAUGCCGGAAAGCCAUAGAGAUAUGGCCCCCGCAAGGUCGGUAUACAGGUGGUGCAUGGCUGUCGU